rnacentral:rRNA from 1 species
GACGAACGCUGGCGGCGUGCUUAACACAUGCAAGUCGAACGCGCCUGUCCUCUGGGUUUCUGGGGGGUGGGUGAGUGGCGAACGGGUGAGUAACACGUGAGUAACCUGCCCCCUUCUUCGGGAUAACGGUCUGAAAGGGCUGCUAAUACCGGGUAUUCACUGGUCUCCGCAUGGGGUCUGGUGGAAAGGUUUUUUUCUGGUGGGGGAUGGGCUCGCGGCCUAUCAGCUUGUUGGUGGGGUGAUGGCCCACCAAGGCUUUGACGGGUAGCCGGCCUGAGAGGGUGACCGGUCACAUUGGGACUGAGAUACGGCCCAGACUCCUACGGGAGGCAGCAGUGGGGAAUAUUGCACAAUGGGCGCAAGCCUGAUGCAGCGACGCCGCGUGAGGGAUGGGGGCCUUCGGGUUGUGAACCUCUUUCGCCCGUGGUCAAGCCGCGACGUGGGUCGUGGUGAGGGUAGUGGGUAAAGAAGCGCCGGCUAACUACGUG